AUUGGGACCUAUUAACAGUAUGUUAUUAGUACAAAAAAUACUCGUAAAAUUAUAAAGAGAAAACUUUAAAUAUCAUCCCUAUAGUUUCAUGUUUUUUUACUAUAGUGUUCUGUGGUUUAAAAUGUAUCACUUUAGUACUUUAUGGUUUUAUUUUUUUUUCUUUUCGUUAUUUCCUACAUUAAUAUUUUUGUUAAAUCAGAGAUAUAGUUAAAACCACAAGAGUAUUAAAGUAAAAAUUUGGUAAACCAAAGAAUAUUAAAGUGAAUAUUCGAUAAACCAUAAGUGGGGUAUGUAUCUGAAGUUUUUUGUAUAUGAUUUAGCAAAGAGUUAAUGAAGAUACUCAUUGAAAAGAAAAAAAUAAAAUUAUGAGAUACUAAAAUAAUAUACUUUAAAUCAUAGAAUACUAAAAUGAAAAAAUACGAAACCACAUAAAUGAUAUUUUAAGUUUAUCCAAAUAUAAAACAUUUGAGUGUACA
rnacentral:lncRNA from 1 species